GCAGCUUGCUGGACUGUAACUGACGCUGAGGCACGAAAGCGUGGGGAUCAAACAGGAUUAGAUACCCUGGUAGNCCACGCCGUAAACGAUGAAUGCUAGCUGUUAGCGAUAUACUGUUAGCGGCACAGAGAAAUCGUUAAGCAUUCCACCUGGGGAGUACGCCGGCAACGGUGAAACUCAAAGGAAUUGACGGGGGCCCGCACAAGCGGAGGAACAUGUGGUUUAAUUCGAUGAUACGCGAGGAACCUUACCUGGGCUUAAAUUGCAGUGGAAUAACGUGGAAACAUGUUAGCCUUCGGGCCGCUGUGAAGGUGCUGCAUGGUUGUCGUCAGCUCGUGCCGUGAGGUGUCGGCUUAAGUGCCAUAACGAGCGCAACCCUCAUCGAUAGUUACUAACAGGUUAAGCUGAGGACUCUAUCGAGACUGCCGACGUAAGUCGUGAGGAAGGUGGGGAUGACGUCAAAUCAGCACGGCCCUUACGUCCAGGGCUACACACGUGUUACAAUGGGGGGUACAAAGGGCAGCUACCUGGCGACAGGAUGCUAAUCUCAAAAACCUCUCUCAGUUCGGAUUGGAGUCUGCAACCCGACUCCAUGAAGCUGGAUUCGCUAGUAAUCGCGCAUCAGCCACGGCGCGGUGAAUACGUUCCCGGGCCUUGUACACACCGCCCGUCAAGCCAUGGGAGCCGGGGGGACCUGAAGUAUGCAACCGUAAGGAGCGUCCUAGGGUAAAACUGGUGACUGGGGCU
rnacentral:rRNA from 1 species